AUGAACGCUGGCGGCGUGCCUAAUACAUGCAAGUCGAGCGAACAGAUGAGGAGCUUGCUCCUCUGACGUUCGCGGCGGACGGGUGAGUAACACGUGGAUAACCUACCUAUAAGACUGGGAUAACUUCGGGAAACCGGAGCUAAUACCGGAUAAUAUAUUGAACCGCCUGGUUCAAUAGUGAAAGACGGUUUUGCUGUCACUUAUAGAUGGAUCCGCGCCGCAUUAGCUAGUUGGUAAGGUAACGGCUUACCAAGGCAACGAUGCGUAGCCGACCUGAGAGGGUGAUCGGCCACACUGGAACUGAGACACGGUCCAGACUCCUACGGGAGGCAGCAGUAGGGAAUCUUCCGCAAUGGGCGAAAGCCUGACGGAGCAACGCCGCGUGAGUGAUGAAGGUCUUCGGAUCGUAAAACUCUGUUAUUAGGGAAGAACAAAUGUGUAAGUAACUAUGCACGUCUUGACGGUACCUAAUCAGAAAGCCACGGCUAACUACGUG
rnacentral:rRNA from 1 species